UCAGGAACUCUGAUGACAGGGUAAUCAGAAGUGUCAAAUAUCACAAAGGUAUGGUAAGGUAAACAGCAAGGUACCUUGGAUUUGACCACUAGAACACUGACGAUCAGACAUUUUAAAGAAAAGAUGGUAAUGAAAAUUAAACUACAAUGGGUCACUGAGUGAAAUAUAAAAGAUAGAGAGAUACCUAGUCAAUUACCUUUAAAAAAAAAAAACUAUUAUGACAUCCCAGGUAUAAGUAUACUUCCUUAAAAGAAAGUAUAAG